CAACCUGAGAGUUUGAUUCUGGCUCAGAACGAACGCUGGCGGCAGGCUUAACACAUGCAAGUCGAACGCCCCGCAAGGGGAGUGGCAGACGGGUGAGUAACACGUGGGAACAUGCCCAAAGGUACG
rnacentral:rRNA from 1 species